UACGUAGGGGGCGAGCGUUGUCCGGAUUUAUUGGGCGUAAAGCGCGCGCAGGCGGUUUGUUAAGUCUGGUGUGAAAGCUCCCGGCUCACCUGGGAGAGGGCACUGGAGACUGGCAGACUGGAGGGCGGCAGAGGCCGGUGGAAUUCCCGGUGUAGUGGUGAAAUGCGUAGAGAUCGGGAGGAACACCAGUGGCGAAGGCGGCCGGCUGGGCCGUGCCUGACGCUGAGGCGCGAAAGCGUGGGGAGCGAACCGG
rnacentral:rRNA from 1 species